rnacentral:rRNA from 1 species
UUUAGCUAGCACAUCUAAGCAAAGAGACCUUUAGUUUAGACCCCCGAAACUAGACGAGCUACUUCAAGACAGCCUAUGUUGGGCGAACCCGUCUCUGUGGCAAAAGAGUGGGAAGAACUUCAAGUAGAGGUGACAAACCUAUCGAGCCUAGUUAUAGCUGGUUGCCUGAGAAAUGAAUAAAAGUUCAGCCUCCCGAACUCCUCCGUCCCACAAACAUCACUUUACCCACGACCCCAGGAUAAUCGAGAGAGUUAGUCAAAGGGGGUACAGCCCCUUUGAAAAAGGACACAACCUCACCGGGAGACUAAAGAUCACAGUAACUAAAGGAAGACUUGUUUAAGUGGGCCUAAAAGCAGCCACCUAAGAAGAAAGCGUUAAAGCUCAAACACCCCAGCCCCACCCUUAAUACCGAUAUUAACUCUAAACUCCCCGACCCCUACCAGGCCGUCCCAUACCUUAUGGAAAAGACCCUGCUAAAAUGAGUAAUAAGAGGGACCACCCCUCUCCAAUGCACAAGUGUACCUCGGAACGGACCUCCCGCCGACAACUAACGACCCCAGACUAAGAGGGCAGUGUAAAACCACACGAACACCUAGAAAACCCAACACAAAUAAUCGUUAACCCCACACAGGCGUGCAAGCCAGGAAAGACUAAAACAAAGGGAAGGAACUCGGCAAACACAAGCCUCGCCUGUUUACCAAAAACAUCGCCUCUUGCAAAAACAAAGAAUAAGAGGUCCCGCCUGCCCUGUGACUAUAUGUUUAACGGCCGCGGUAUUUUGACCGUGCGAAGGUAGCGCAAUCACUUGUCUUUUAAAUGGAGACCUGUAUGAAAGGCACCACGAGGGCUUGACUGUCUCCCCUUUAAAGUCAAUGAAAUUGAUCUCCCCGUGCAGAAGCGGGGAUAGCCUCGUAAGACGAGAAGACCCUAUGGAGCUUAAGACAUAAAGCGGCCCGCGUCAAACACCUCAAGUAAAAGAGCUGAACAAAGUGUGACCCCCGCCGAAAUGUCUUUGGUUGGGGCGACCGCGGGGAAAGAAAAAACCCCCACGUGGACCGGGACUACAUGUCCUAAAACCAAGACCCACAGAUCAAGGCAACAGAACCUCUGACCACUAAUAGAUCCGGCAACGCCGAUCAACGGACCGAGUUACCCUAGGGAUAACAGCGCAAUCCCCUCCCAGAGCCCAUAUCGACGAGGGGGUUUACGACCUCGAUGUUGGAUCAGGACAUCCUAAUGGUGCAACCGCUAUUAAGG